AUAUGCAAAUGAAUGGACAAGGCUGUGUUCCAAUACAAUUUUAUUUACAAGAACAGGCAACUGUAGCUUCUGUCUGUCCUCUUUCAGAGACAAGAAGAGAUCUUGGUCUAUCACUAGCACCAUGUGCAAGGAUCAGAUACGGACCGUAGGGGGAAAGAUCGGGCUUCUAAUCACAGCCCUGUGUCUCUGUAGCUCUUUCAGAUGCAAGUGCCAGAAACCCAAUGAAACAAGAAAUUUUCCUUGACCCUUUCGUGGGCCUCGCGACGGGGGUGCCUUACUUCCUCAGUCCGCAGCUCUCAACUCCUCAUGGUAGGGGGAGCACGCAGGAGCACCCAGGUGGACUUUAUUUCUGCACCAGGGAAGACAGACCUCUGCUAAUUCUGGACUCAAACACUGAUGGCUCUAGCCCUGGAGAAGAAAGAGGAUCUCCUUUAUCGAGGGCCAGCAGGUGAACCUUGCAAAACCCAGAACAGCCAGCCCUGAUCUUUGGUUUUGAUGGCGUGAGAAAUCACAGAACAAGCUCUUGAGAAAUAACCGAAUGUGUUCUCACAAAUAACUGGGAGACAUCAGGAUAAAAGUUCAUGUGAAGUUUGAAGGAGAGGAUGAAGAUCCUCCAAGCGCAUCAGCAGAAACAGCAAAGAAGUAAUAAUAUAUUUUAUGCAAGAGUCUAUUGGAAAGAGGAAGCAUAUGGAAGAAGGCAGUAGCAGAUUACUAAAAGCUGUAAAAUCUGUGGAGAAGGUCUGUGAAGAUAUUGAAACCAGUCAGUAGAAAGACAAAUAAAUAUAAUCAUUAUUGAAUUGUUAUAAUAAGUGAGUCUAUUGCAAACUCAUUAUGAUGGUAUAAGCCUAUUGACCAACUACAUCCUUAUUAUAGUUAUUAUAAUUACUGGCUCAGUGGAACUAUCACCAAACUCCCUAAUAUAAUUUGUUUGGUCUUUUUUUAAAUGUUUGUUAUAAAGCAGUAAGCCUCAUCCUCCUGUGAGAUGUAUCAUGUUAUCUGUUACUAAUACAAGUUAAAUAUUAAGAUAUAGGAAUUAUUUACUUCUAUUACACAGAAUCCAAAGUUUUCCCAAUAAUAAUGCUAUUAGCACUGUAGCAGACCCUGUUAGUGCCCUACCCAAAUCCCCUGAGCCCCACCCCUACAGACUAAAGGCUGCUUACUGUGAAUAUCUGUGACUCUCUGCUUGAGAGUGUUUUGCUGGCUACCAGAGCAUGCAGGGGCUUAUGCAUGGCAAAAUGAAAGUUCUAAAGAAUUAAUUAACUCCCAAUGAUGAAUGGGAGUUGGAAGAUAAAUACCCCAGUUUCCUUUCCCUUUGGUUGAGAUAACUCUGAGGUGUGUCUUUUACACUAGCCCCAAGAGUUCCCCAGCAGUAUUGCACUCCAGUUGCCUAUGGUGGUAACUUGCUGGAAUACAAACCCUUUGUUGGCUUCCCUCCCUCAUAUCCCCAAUCCUCAGCCAGUGCUUUCUGAUAUUCUACCCCUCACCCAAAUUAAUCAUUAGCACUCGAAUCCUUGUCUCAGGGUCUACUUCUGCUGUAACCCAAGCUAAGACAUCUACUAACUCUUUUUUUCUGACAUACCUUUUUGGGUGGGAAAGACAGUGGACUGUAGACAUUUGUUACCUUCAGUACAUCCAUGGGAGUAUGAUAUAUGUCAUUUGUGUCACGGUAGAAUAAAGGUUGAUAAUUGUCAUAAAACAUGCACCUGACUAGUUGAUUGACUGUGACACAAGGUGGCUUCAAGAAGGGAUGACAGCUCAGUAAAGAAAGGGCUCCUGGGCCGGGUGCGGUGUGGCUCAUGCCUGUAAUCCCAGCACUUUGGGAGGCCGAGGCGGGUGGAUCACGAGGUCAGGAGUUCAAGACCAGCUUGAACAAUAUGGUGAAACCCCGUCUCUACUAAAAAUACAAAAAUUAGCCAGGCGUGGUGGCAGACACCUGUAGUCCCAGCUACUCAGGAGGCUGAGGCAGGAGAAUCGCGUGAACCUGGGAGGUGGAGGUUGCAGUGAGCCAAGACUGUGCCACUGCACUCCAGCCUGGGCGACAGAGCUAGAGUCUGUCUCAAAAAAAAAAAAAAGAAAGAAAGAAAGGGCUCCUGGAGAACAGGGCCACACCUCUUAUGGUCCCUCCACUCCCAGUCCCAAGUUUCAUGAAUGUUAGUUUGUAGAAAAAGGCCUGAGAAUACCCCUUUAUCUCUGAGAGGCACCAGUUGUGAGCAUAGAGAGGCAAAGAAAAAUUAAGAAGAGUUUCCUUUUUGUGUAAAUACAGGGAAACUUUUUCUUUUCUUUCUUUAUUAAGAUAGGUGAAGCAGCUCAAUGUCAACUUCCAGAAUGGUAGAGUAAGAACCUCUGAAAAUUCGCUCCUCAUAAAAGCAAGGAGAACACUAGAAAAAAAGCUGUCAGAAACAACUUUUCAGGACUCUGGAAAUUAAAACUUGCAACAAUCUUAGGAAUGUUUAUUCAAGAAAAAUGGCUAAAUCUUGGUAAGAACAACAAAUAUUGUAGCCUCUUAACCUAUCUUAAUCCCAUCCCUCUCUCCCCAGCUCCACAGUAGCCUUAAAUGCCUUAAAAACUGUAACUACAAUGGCUGGGAAAUCCAGCAGCCUAGCAUCCACUGAAGAGGGCGAAAGAGGUUUGGAGUUGGGCGGGUGCAGUGGCUCAGGCCUGUAAUCCCAGCACUUUGGGAGGCUAAGGUGGGUGGAUCACGAGGUCAGGAGUUCAAGACCAGCUUGACCAACAUGGUGAAACCCCAUCUCUCCUAAAAAUACAAAAAAAAAUACACACAAAAA
rnacentral:lncRNA from 1 species